GUUUCCGUAGUGUAGCGGUUAUCACGUCUGCUUCACACGCAGAAGGUCUCCGGUUCGAUCCCGGGCGGAAACA
rnacentral:tRNA from 1 species